GAUUAAAGCCUCUCAAAACUGAACUACGCGCAAUACACUUUCGACCAACGAACAGAAACCACUCAACACUCAAUUCAUUGGAGGACCAUCAGCCGCUUCUUGUCUUUCCCCUAAACAAGAAAUAACAAAGCACCAUCAAUGGAUUCCAUUAAACAUAAUUAAAAUCCCCCAAUAGAAUAUUGAAAAAAACCGACAACAACACGAAUGACGAACAUAAUUGAAGAAGGGAGCAAUAGAAAUUUUUACAAAGAAAGGUAGGAAGAGAGAAACGUUAGAAAAGAAAGAUUUUUGGGAAAAGAAAAAAAUGUCAAAAGAUGAGAGGAAUUUUGAAAAAAUUAAGAAAAAAUAAAAUAAUAAAAAUAAAAAUUAAAAAAACCAAACUCCCAACUCCCAACUCCCCACUAUCCAACCUAUCCCACUAAAACUGACAUCAGAUUCUCAUCCAACAACCCCUGAGUUUCAGUUCCACCGAACCUUUAUCACACAACCGAAGCAAAAAUUAUCAUCCACACUCAC
rnacentral:lncRNA from 1 species